AAGGCACUCAAGGCAGUUAUCCGUUCAUGUUCCUUGUCUGCAAGUGAUUCCCGACGUUUCAGCACCUAGGCAACAGUGCUUGGAUAGUGGAUUGCUGAAAGGAAAAACACCCAGUUGGCUACAUACUACAAGGCAACAGCAAAUGUAAAGUCAAUCAUGUAAACGAUGGUGAAGAUGAAAAAUCCUUUCCACACUACCUGGCCUCACAACAACAGCAUGUUCCGGGCUCAUGUGAUCCUCACACUAGGGACUGGGCAUCUGAUUGUUUUGAUAAUUCACCUGUAUCACCCUUUUAGCUUUAUUCCCGUCAUUCUGCACGUUACCUUACGUGUGAUAAAUCUUUCUUUUCUUUCUGUAGGUUUUGAUGGCCAUUGAUAAUUGGAGAGCAGCAUUGGAAUAUGACAGCUUGUCUGGGAUAAAAGCACUACUAAUUUAAUUAGUUUAAAUAACACAAAAUUUAACUAAUGAUUCUUAUUGCAUUCUUGGCUCAAUGUUAUCAGAAAAUUUCAGCUGAAGUUUACCUAGGUGCAAACAGAGAAAACAGAGAUCAAACAGGACAAUCCAGUGCAAGCUGUGUCUUCUAAAGCCAAAUAGUUUCUAUGUGCAAGGUUAACUUUUUGCAUUCAAGUUGUUGUAAAUCUUCAAAAUAUUGUUGCCUUUCCCAGAUCAAAUUCUAUGUUGCUAACUUGCUAUUUAUUUUGAGGACAAUUGACAGACAAUGCUUCUUUGAAGUUCUACUUAAGUGGUUGCUGUGACUACAUUUUGCUGAGUUCUCAUUUAUAAAAAUGUAAGAUCGAUAAAUUUGAGGUUUUUCUUUGCUAUCAUAACAUAACAUGGUUAAAUCUACUAUUUUUUAGGUAAUAUGUCGCCGCUGACAUAUGUUUGUUAAUCGAUGAAAGAUUGUUGCAAUUGCAGCUUAAAUUGUGUUGACGUAAAAAAAAAUAUUGGAUGAUUACUCAACAAUUUUUAAGUAGUUUAUCUAUACGUGUUUUUUUUUAAAUUUGUGUUUACUAAAGAAUUUUUCAAUCUACAUUACCAUGUAAAUUUUUCAUAAUUUUUUUCCUUCUUUACAUAUAAACGUUUAAUAACAGUUAAUUAACUUGUUUAAACUGUACAUAAUAUCAAGUUAACAAAAUACAAAAUUUCUUUCAUAUCGGCAUCGGCUGCAACAAAACCAGUACUGAACAGAAAAC